CGGACGGGUGAGUAACGCGUGGAAAACCUGCCGUAUACUGGGGGAUAACACUUAGAAAUAGGUGCUAAUACCGCAUAAGCGCACAGCUUCGCAUGAAGCGGUGUGAAAAACUCUGGUGGUAUACGAUGGUUCCGCGUCUGAUUAGCUAGUUGGUGGGGUAAUGGCCUACCAAGGCAACGAUCAGUAGCCGGCCUGAGAGGGUGAACGGCCACAUUGGGACUGAGAUACGGCCCAGACUCCUACGGAAGGCAGCAG
rnacentral:rRNA from 1 species